ensembl:lncRNA
UUUCACUGUUCAAUCUCCCCCUCCUCCACCAAGAUCCCAAACAGGUGAUCAAAAUAUUUACCCAAAACCCAGGUCUCUUCCUAGAGGGGAUUUCUCUACUUCCCUGCACCGCCAGCUCAGGCCCACUCUGAACCCAGCCUGCACUGGAGCCCUCCGGGACGUGCACAGAAUGAUCUUAUGCUCUGUGCCUUCCUACAACCAUCCCAAACUGAAUGAGAAGCAGGUCUCAAUGGACCUUCAGUGGUCAAGUUCCUGGAGGAGCUGCUCUGUCAGGAAAAUAAGAGGCAUGUGCUCCUGCUGUGGGCGAGGGUACUCUCAGUGUGAAAUCAUAUUGGAGCAGACUUUGGCGUCCCCCCAGCUCCUGGAGCUUCUACAAUAGCGG